UCAAUGGGUAGCACGUGGCAAGA
rnacentral:miRNA from 1 species